rnacentral:rRNA from 1 species
AUUGAACGCUGGCGGCAUGCCUUACACAUGCAAGUCGAACGGCAGCACGGGUGCUUGCCCCUGGUGGCGAGUGGCGAACGGGUGAGUAAUACAUCGGAACAUGUCCUGUAGUGGGGGAUAGCCCGGCGAAAGCCGGAUUAAUACCGCAUACGAUCUACGGAUGAAAGCGGGGGACCUUCGGGCCUCGCGCUAUAGGGUUGGCCGAUGGCUGAUUAGCUAGUUGGUGGGGUAAAGGCCUACCAAGGCGACGAUCAGUAGCUGGUCUGAGAGGACGACCAGCCACACUGGGACUGAGACACGGCCCAGACUCCUACGGGAGGCAGCAGUGGGGAAUUUUGGACAAUGGGCGAAAGCCUGAGCCAGCAAUGCCGCGGGUGUGAAGAAGGCCUUCGGGUUGUAAAGCACUUUUGUCCGGAAAGAAAUCCUUGGCCCUAAUACGGUCGGGGGAGGACGGGACCGGAAGAAUAAGCACCGGCGAACUACGU